ACAUGUACAUAGCUAGAAGGCUAUAGAACUCUCUAGAACCUCUAGAGCUUGUAAGCCUCCCCUAUAAAUAUGGGAUGGCAUUUGGAAUUUAAGAACACAUAAGACAUAGAGAAAUCCAAUACUUGUACAAAGCUUUCUCUUGUUUAAUACAAAGCUUUCUUGCAAACUUCUCUUCUUAGCUUCUCUUAGCUUUGUUGUGACAUUUGUUCGGGAAAAGGCUGACUUAGCACAACGCAGGGGCGAAUUGUGACUAAGGCCGCACGGAAGAUAGCUAGGGAGUUAUCCGGUCCGUGACAUAUUGCCUUUAAUUUGCUAGUUUCCAAGUUGUGUUUGGUACGUUUAUGAUAAAACUUUGUAAAUAUUUAUAAUGUUCUGUCAAAUAAUCAUGAACAUCUAACUCGCCUAGAAGGAAUUUGUGUGGGGCUUGGUUCUUUCACUAAGUUGGAAUUUUUUUUAGCAGAGUGAAUCUUAUUUUCAAAUGUACUCCCAUGUAGCAAAGGUCCAAAAAAUUAGAAUCAAUUAAUACUUGUACACUUUCCCACAAGUGAUUUCCAUAAUUCAAAGCCCCACAAUAAUCUCAUUAUUUAGGAAGAAUAAUAAAUACUGUUAGAUGCUUUAGGCGUGCUAUUAAAAAAUUAUAUUCUUAAACUCGGGUGUGUAUUUGAUAUGGCCCUAAUUCAAAUACCAAUAAAGUUUAUUAAAAUAUGUCAUGGACCGCGGGUGCAUUUCAUGUGAUGUGAUACAAAGACAUAUUUUGUAUAACAUUGAAAUCUUCCUAAAAACGAAUAAAAGCGGUUAAUACGUUAAAAUAUACCAUAGGGUAAACCAUUUAUUAAAAUCAGAUAAUAGCC
rnacentral:lncRNA from 1 species